rnacentral:lncRNA from 1 species
AUGGUCAGAAAAUCGCAUGAAAUGGGAAGCGGAAAGGGGCUCAUCGGAUGAAUUUUUUAAUUUUGGCCGUGGCAGCUCCACUGGACUUUUUCGUAGUUUUCGGCUCACUCACUAUCUCUCUUGCUCCUAUAUGGCUACAAGAAUGGUCAGAAUCGGGGGCUAACUGCUAGAGUUUGGGUUUGCUCGCGACUCGAGGUAUUUAUACCCAUCCCGUAUCGAUCUGGGUCGUUCAUCACGAUUGAUCUUAUCCGUCUGAUUGUGCCUAAGAAUGGAAUAAAUUUGGACCGUUCACGUGUGUGGGAUCGAACCUGAUUCGUCGGAUCGCUGGGCAUGCAAAUCGCUCGCGUGGCCUACCGCGUGACGCUGACGUCAGCGUGUUUUGACACGCGGCGUGUUCCAGUU